UUAUCAAGAAUAAUACACAGAAAGGGGCAAUAACUUCUUGGAAAUCUGAACAAAGUGAGUGAACACCUCCAUACUGUCAUUUUCAUCAAACUGAGGUUC
rnacentral:snoRNA from 1 species